UACGGGGGGGGCAAGCGUUGUUCGGAAUUACUGGGCGUAAAGGGCUCGUAGGCGGCCAACUAAGUCGGACGUGAAAUCCCCAGGCUCAACCUGGGAACUGCAUCCGAUACUGGAUGGCUUGAAUCCGGGAGAGGGAUGCAGAAUUCCAGGUGUAGCGGUGAAAUGCGUAGAUAUCUGGAGGAAUACCGGUGGCGAAGGCGGCAUCCUGGACCGGCAUUGACGCUGAUGAGCGAAAGCUAGGGGAGCAAACGGG
rnacentral:rRNA from 1 species